GAUGAAGAACGCAACGAAAUGCGAUAAGUAAUGUGAAUUGCAGAAUUCAGUGAAUCAUCGAAUCUUUGAACGCACAUUGCGCCCGCCAGCACUCUGGCGGGCAUGCCUGUUCGAGCGUCAUUUCAACCAUCAAGCCCCCAGGGGCUUGUGCUGGGGCCCUGCGGCUGCCCGCAGGCCCUGAAAACCAGUGGCGGGCUCGCUAGUCACACCGAGCGCAGUAGCACAUCUCGCUCAGGGCGUGCGGCGGGCUCCUGCCGUGAAACCCCCCACUGUAACCCCAAAGGUUGACCUCGGAUCAGGUAGGAAUACCCGCUGAACUUAAGCAUAUCAAUAAGCGGAGGA
rnacentral:misc_RNA from 1 species